UUACGACUACAUAUCAGGCAUAUCAAUAAGCGGAGGAAAAGAAACUAACAAGGAUUCCCCUAGUAACGGCGAGUGAAGCGGGAAGAGCUCAAAUUUGAAAUCUUAAAGGGUUUCCCUUUACGAAUUGUAGUUUAAAGAAGUGUUUUCUGUUGGAGUUUCGGUAGAAAGUUCUUUGGAAUAGGACAUCAUAGAGGGUGAGAAUCCCGUAUUUGACCGUUACUUUCCAGCUGUGUGAUACACUUUCAAAGAGUCGGAUUGUUUGGGAAUGCAGUCCAAGAUGGGUGGUAAAUUUCAUCUAAAGCUAAAUAUUGGCAAGAGACCGAUAGCGAACAAGUACCGUGAGGGAAAGAUGAAAAGAACUUUGAGAAGGAGAGUUAAACAGUACGUGAAAUUGUCAAAAGGGGAAGCGUUUGACACCAGUGUUGUUUUUCCGAAAAUCAAUUAAGAAGUGGCUUGAUUUUGUGUUGUAUUGACCUUAUCAGCUUUCUUCACUCUUUUUCGAGUCUUUCUUAAUGCACUUUUCGGUUAACAAGUCAACAUCAAUUUCUUUUGUUGUAAAAGGGUAUUUGGAAGGUGGCUUGCGCUUUCGGAUCAGAGUGUUUAUAGCCUUUAUACCUCUAGCAAUCGGAGAGAUUGAGGUCUGCAGCGUAGAUCCCUUCGGGGCUAGAUACACUUGUGCUAAGUUAUAGCUUUUCAUAGACAACUUGUUGACUAUGUUUAGUCAUGUAGCUUACCCGCUUGUGCUAUUUUACCUACGCUUAGGAUGUUGAUCUACAGAGCGAGAGU
rnacentral:rRNA from 1 species